rnacentral:rRNA from 1 species
GAUGAACGCUGGCGGCGUGCCUAAUACAUGCAAGUCGAGCGAACGGACGAGAAGCUUGCUUCUCUGAUGUUAGCGGCGGACGGGUGAGUAACACGUGGAUAACCUACCUAUAAGACUGGGAUAACUUCGGGAAACCGGAGCUAAUACCGGAUAAUAUUUUGAACCGCAUGGUUCAAAAGUGAAAGACGGUCUUGCUGUCACUUAUAGAUGGAUCCGCGCUGCAUUAGCUAGUUGGUAAGGUAACGGCUUACCAAGGCAACGAUGCAUAGCCGACCUGAGAGGGUGAUCGGCCACACUGGAACUGGGACACGGUCCAGACUCCUACGGGAAGCAGCAGUAGGGAAUCUUCCGCAAUGGGCGGAAAGCUGACAGAGCAACGGCGGGUGAGUGGUGGAAGUCUUCGGAUCGUAAAACUCUGUUAUUAGGGAAAAACAUAUGUGUAAGUUACUGUGCACAACUUGACGGUACCUAAUUAAGAAGCCACGGCUAACUACGUG